UGGCCCUGGGCUCACAAUCAACGCUGGCGGCGUGCCUAACACAUGCAAGUCGAACGCGAAAGGGGCUUCGGCCCUGAGUAGAGUGGCAAACGGGUGAGUAACACGUGGGUGACCUGCCUUCGAGUGGGGGAUAACGUUUCGAAAGGAACGCUAAUACCGCAUAACAUCCUGCUUUUGGAAAGGUGGAGAUCAAAGCCGGGGAUCGUAAGACCUGGCGCUUGAAGAGGGGCCCGCGCCUGAUUAGCUAGUUGGUGGGGUAACGGCCUACCAAGGCGACGAUCAGUAUCCGGCCUGAGAGGGCGGACGGACACACUGGGACUGAGACACGGCCCAGACUCCUACGGGAGGCAGCAGUGGGGAAUUGUUCGCAAUGGGCGCAAGCCUGACGACGCAACGCCGCGUGGAGGACGAAGAUCUUCGGGUCGUAAACUCCUGUCGAGCGGGAAGAACAUCUGCCGGGCUAAUAUCCUGGCAGGCUGACGGUACCGCUAAAGGAAGCCCCGGCUAACUCCGUGCCAGCAGCCGCGGUAAUACGGGGGGGGCAAGCGUUGUUCGGAAUUACUGGGCGUAAAGGGCUCGUAGGCGGCCAACUAAGUCGGAUGUGAAAUCCCCAGGCUCAACCUGGGAACUGCAUCCGAUACUGGAUGGCUUGAGUUCGGGAGAGGGAUGCAGAAUUCCAGGUGUAGCGGUGAAAUGCGUAGAUAUCUGGAGGAAUACCGGUGGCGAAGGCGGCAUCCUGGACCGACAUUGACGCUGAGGAGCGAAAGCUAGGGGAGCAAACGGGAUUAGAUACCCCGGUAGUCCUAGCCCUAAACGAUGAAUGCUUGGUGUAGCGGGUAUCGA
rnacentral:rRNA from 1 species